rnacentral:rRNA from 1 species
UACGGAGGGUGCAAACGUUGCUCGGAAUUAUUGGGCGUAAAGCGCACGUAGGCGGUCUAGCAAGUCGGGUGUGAAAGCCCUCAGCUUAACUGAGGAAGUGCAUUCGAAACUACUAGGCUUGAGUACUGAAGAGGACGACGGAAUUCCCGGUGUAGAGGUGAAAUUCGUAGAUAUCAGGAGGAACACCGGUGGCGAAGGCGGGAUCCUGGGCCAGUACUGACGCUGAGGAGCGAAAGCGUGGGGAGCAAACAGG